rnacentral:sRNA from 1 species
ACGGCCACCUAUAGCAUUGGGCGGGGCAGAGCCCUGAGGGCCGCUGGCCAAUUGGCGCGCUCGUCUGAAUGGCGUUUGGCGCGGAGCAGUGACGGCUGGGAUAAUAGCGAGGCAGCAGUGCCGCUCUUAGAGGGUCCGGGCUCAGAGGGGCCAUGAUUCGGAGGGUUCUGCCGCACGGCUUGGGCCGGGGCCUCUUGACCCGGAAGCCAGGCACGCGCAGAGGAGGCUUUUCUCUGGGUUUUGUCUCUUCAUCUCAACGCAUGUUGACCACAGAUGACAAAGCGGUGGUCUUGAAAAGGAUCCAUAAAGUCCACGUGAAGAUGGACUGCAGCCUGGAGUACCAGCCUGUGGAAUGCGCCAUUGUGGUCAACGCAGCCGGAGCCUGGUCUGCGCAAAUCGCAGCGCUGGCUGGUAUUGGAGAGGGGCCACCUGGCACCCUGCAGGGCACCAAGCUACCUGUGGAGCCGAGGAAAAGGUAUGUGUAUGUAUGGCACUGCCCCCAGGGACCAGGCCUAGAGACUCCGCUUGUUGCAGACACCAGUGGAGCCUAUUUUCGCCG